rnacentral:other from 1 species
UUUUCCCUGCCAUGCCCGGCAGGGGCCUAAUUCUCCAACCCAACACCAUCCAUGACGGGAGCUGGUGUUUGCCUGUGGACGGCGCGUCCGUUCGACCGGAAUUCCGGCAAGCAGGUGACAGGUUCCCACCUUAUUCCAAUAAGGUCUGGAGAUUCGUCCCACCGGCAUGGCGGGGAUUUU